UUCUUGUUUCAGAUGAAUUAAUUCCGUUAGCGAGACAAAGGAAGAGCUCCCUUAUAACAUUAAAAGCCACUCAGUGGUCUGGAACCAUCAUCUUCUCUGUGUUCGAUCACCUUCUAUUUCCAGCACUUAUUGAUUCCGUGUGGAAGUCUGUCGAUGGGCCGCGUCCCCGUAGGAAGGUGGACGCGUCCGUGUGUCGGGGGGGCGUUUGCAGGCGGAGCGGCCCGGAUGGCUCCCUGCAUGUACGUGAGAUGAGGAUGUGCUUGUUGAAGUGAAGAAGAAGGAGAAGAAGAAGAAGAAGAAGACGACGUCCCAGUAAACAGGAAGCAGUUCAUUACUGGUGAUACCCUGACAAUGAGGUUAUGUGCCGAUAAUUGGGAUUAAAUUGGGAGAUUAAAAUGCUUCCGCGGAGGCGUUUUCCC
ensembl:lncRNA